UACAGAGGGUGCUAGCGUUGUUCGGAAUCAUUGGGCGUAAAGGGCGUGUAGGCGGUUUGUUAAGUCAUGUGUGAAAUCCCUCGGCUCAACCGGGGAACGACGCAUGAAACUGGCAAGCUAGAGUACCAAAGAGGGGGGUGGAAUUCCCGGUGUAGCGGUGAAAUUCGUAGAUAUCGGGAGGAACACCAGUGGCGAAGGCGGCGAUCUGGGAAGAUACUGACGUGAGGUGCGAAAGCGUGGGGAGCAAACAGG
rnacentral:rRNA from 1 species